GCGCUCAGUGACAGAGCAUUUGCCCUGCAUGCAGAAGGUUCCAAGUUCAACCCUUGGCAUGUCCA